rnacentral:rRNA from 1 species
UACGAGGGGGGCGAGCGUUGUUCGGAAUUAUUGGGCGUAAAGCGUCUGUAGGUGGCUUUUUAAGUCCGCCGUCAAAUCCCGAGGCUCAACCUCGGAACUGCGUCUGAAACUACUCGGCUAGAGUACUGGAGAGGGUAACGGAAUUCACGGUGUAGCAGUGAAAUGCGUAGAUAUCGUGAGGAACACCAGAGGCGAAGGCGGUUACCUGGACAGUUACUGACGCUCAGGCACGAAAGCAUGGGGAGCAAAAGGG